UGCAGGUGUACAGAGAGAACUUCAUUUACCAGCUCGCGGUGGUUCUUCGGAUUGUGUUCGAGAAUCGCUUGCAUGGGGAGUAGAUCGAAUUAAAAGAGAUAUAUGCACGGGUAAGGAAAAAAAACUAUGAACAAAGUUAAGCUACUCUUAUUCCGAAGUAUCGGUUGUCAGAGUUAAUAGAAAUUGCCUUUCUUCUUGACCGAUAUGGAAAGAGUAAUCUGCACCGUUAGCAAUGUGGUUUUCUCAUUGCUAACAGAAGUUCCAGAAUUACGUGCGGGAUCGUGAAUAUCUGGACAAUUCCAUAUGCUGUAACAUUCAACUAUAAGCACGGAACAUGUGCAGCACCACGAAACCCCUUCGUUGGCAGAGCCGCCUUAGGUCUGUCCUUUUUGAAGUUUAUCUGUAAGCUUAAUCCAAAAGCUAAAGUCCUGUUAAAUGGGUAACUUAUGGAUGCUAACAAUGAGCAAGAGAGAAAACGUUAUGGUACCCGCCGGUUUCAUCCCAUCAGCUACUGAUACCGAAGAUGACGACCAUGUCAUUAGGUGAGUUUUUGUUAAUUUAUGGCUUUCAUUGACAACACUACAACGUUCUUCUUUUCUAGAUAUUGAGCUCAAAAGCUUCACCUCUGAACAGUGGAAAUAUGUGUGAUGGCAAGGUCCAAAACCAUCGACUGAUUUUAAGUGUAUACCUAAUUCUCAGUUGUGCCAGGAAACGGUAUUGUUAGUCGCUAAGUGAUGUCAAAGUAAAAUUAUUUUCCUUCACUUGCUACUGUUAGCAUAAUGAAUUAGUUUAGUUUA